CAUGUUGUGGAUUUGUUGUUGGCGUGUGGGACGGGAUGCUGGGUUGCUGUAUUGAUUGUUGCAUGCCGUGUGCGAGGGACAGUGUCCACAUAAUACCAAAAUUAAGGAGACUACAUAUAUGAGGUUGGGUAAGGCCUAAGAGAGCAUGCAAGCGCAGAUGACAUGGGGCUAUUUUCCUUCUCCCGUUAUAUCAUUCUGGUCUUAUUACUCUCUGCAGGAAUCUUGGCCAUGCAGCCUUAUCAAAUCAGUGCAGAUAUUGAAGGAAGAAAACUUGCUACCAAACCUUUUCCAAGUCCUCCCUCU